AGCAGCCGCGGUAAUUCCAGCUCCAAUAGCGUAUAUUAAAGUUGUUGCAGUUAAAAAGCUCGUAGUUGAAUUUUGGAUUCGGCCAAUUGGUCCAUCUUUUAGAUGAGUACUGGUUGUGUUGGGUCUAUCCGCCUGGUGAUACGUAAUGUCCUUUAUUGGAUGUUGCGGGUAGUCAGGACCUUUACCUUGAAAAAAUUAGAGUGUUUAAAGCAGGCUUAUGCCGGAAUACAUUAGCAUGGAAUAAUAGAAUAGGACGAAGUUGUUUUAUUUUGCUGGUUUCUAGGACAACCGUAAUGAUUAAUAGGGAUAGUUGGGGGCAUUAGUAUUCAAUUGUCAGAGGUGAAAUUCUUGGAUUUAUUGAAGACUAACUACUGCGAAAGCAUUUGCCAAGGAUGUUUUCAUUAAUCAAGAACGAAAGUUAGGGGAUCGAAGACGAUCAGAUACCGUCGUAGUCUUAACCAUAAACUAUGCCGACUAGGGAUCGGGCGAUGUUGUUUCCAUGACUCGCUCGGCACCUUAU
rnacentral:rRNA from 1 species